rnacentral:rRNA from 1 species
UACGAAGGGGGCUAGCGUUGUUCGGAAUCACUGGGCGUAAAGCGCGCGUAGGCGGGCUGCCGCGUCCGGGGUGAAAUCCCACGGCUCAACCGUGGAACUGCCUCGGAUACGGGCGGUCUCGAGGGGGUAGGGGCACGCGGAACUGUGGGUGGAGCGGUGAAAUGCGUAGAUAUGCGGAGGAACACCGAUGGCGAAGGCAAUCCCCUGGACCUGUACUGACGCUCAUGCACGAAAGGCGUGGGGAGCAAACAGG